UCGUUUUCACUUGCAGGUGAACCAGCCUUCUCUCCCCCGUAUAGUCCGCCUCCACUUCGCCUCCGUAGAGCAUGGCGUCGUCGGCGUCUGUGGCCGGCUCCGCCCGCGGCGUUGGUGGUGGUGCCACCAUGGUGAAGCGCAAGGUGGACGACCGCGUCAAGACGCUGAUCGACGACAUCGCCCACCACAAGCAUCGCGGCCUCAUCUUGCUCGUUGGUGACCGGGCCAAGGACCAGGUGGUGAAUCUCCACCUCAUGAUCUCCCGCGCCAACCACAACGCGAAGGUGAACGUCCUGUGGUGCAUGCGCGAGGACCCAGACUUCGGGUCGACUGGCAAGAAGCAGCAGGAGAAGCGGGCCCGGCUGGAGGUGAAGGGCGGCCUCUCCACGGAGGCCUCCAAGGAGGCCUUCCAGACGUUUCUGGCACAGACAAACAUCCGAUUUUGCAAGUACAAGGAGACGCACAAGAUCCUCGGCCAGACCUUUGGGAUGGCUGUUCUGCAAGAUUUCGAGGCGAUCAAUCCCAACACGCUGGCCCGCACGAUGGAGACGGUGAAGGGAGGCGGCCUCAUCGUGAUCACAUUCCGCGCGAUGCGGUCGCUGCGGCAGCUCUACACGAUCGCCAUGGACGUGCACGCGCGCUACCGCACCGAGACGCAGAGGGAUGUCGUCCCCCGCUUCAACGAGCGCUUCCUUCUUUCGCUGACAGACUGCGACACUGCCAUGUGCGUGGACGACGACUUGAAUGUGCUCCCCAUCACACACAAGAUGAAGUCGUACGGCAAGAGCCGCAAGAGCGACGCCUACGACGCCGAUCUUGCGGUGCAGGGCCGUCUGCAGCACGAGGUGGACUUGGCGAAUGUCAAGGACACGCUAAGGCCGAGUGAGGAUGUGGGGCCGCUCAUGCAGCUGUGCCAGACAAUGGACCAGGCGAAGACGGUGCUGUCGCUUAUGCAAACGGUCAUGGAAAAGCGGCUGGACUCGACGUGCGUCGUGACGGCAGGUCGCGGCCGCGGCAAGUCCGCCGCGCUUGGGAUGACGAUCGCGGGGGCGAUUGCGCAGGGGUACAGCAACAUCAUAUGCACCGCCCCGACUCCGGAGAAUGUGCAGACUCUCUUCGAGUUCGCGAUUCGUGGGCUGAAGGAGCUGGGGUAUCGAGAGCGGACCGACUUUGAGGCGCUGCAGGGCGUCAGCGAGGAGUUUGCCAAGUGCUUCAUCCGCAUCAACGUCUUCCGGGAGCACCGGCAGACAGUGCAGUUCGUCUCCGCGGCGGACACGGCGAAGUUUGCGCAGGCAGAGUUGUGCGUGAUUGAUGAGGCGGCGGCGCUGCCGCUGACGCUGGUGAAGCGCAUCUUGGGCCCCUAUCUCGUCAUUCUGAGCUCCACCGUGUCAGGCUACGAGGGUACUGGCCGCAGCCUGUCCAUGAAGCUUGUGGCCGACAUGCGUCGCGGCAGCAGCAGCGGCGCCGCCGACGCGCGUCACCUGAAGGAGCUGUCGAUGAGCGAUCCGAUCCGUUACGGCCCGGGCGACCCGGUGGAGAAGUGGCUGAACAAGCUGCUAUGCCUCGAUGCAACGAUGGCGAACACGCAGCUGACGACGUCGCCGCACCCGAGCGCGUGCGAGCUGUUCUACGUCAACCGCGACGCUCUCUUCUCAUACCACCCCCUGGCAGAGGAGCUGCUGCAGCGCAUCCAGUCGCUGCUCGUCGCUGCUCACUACAAGAAUCAACCGAAUGACCUGCAGCUGCUCUCCGACGCACCGGGGCACCACUUGUUUGUGCUCUGCGCCGACAGCGUUGAGUCGUCCGCUGCCACGGCGCCGACCUCGUCGACCUCGGCGACGGCACGCCAGCAAGUGCCGGACAUAUUCUGCGUCAUCCACGCCUGCGAGGAGGGCCAAGUGAGUGCGCAGAGCAUCAAGAGCCAUCUGAGCCACGGCCUUCGCCCAUCGGGUGACUUGAUCCCCUACACCCUGUCCCAGUACUACCUGGAAGAGGGCUUCGCAAGGCUGGCAGGGCUGCGCAUCGUGCGAAUCGCCACGAACCCGGCGCUGCCUCGGGCCGGCUACGGCUCCCGUGCCCUCUCCUUGCUGCACCAGUACUACAGCGGGUCCAUCUCGCUGACAGCGGCCGAGCCCAAAACGGCGACGACGAAGCGCAGGAGCGGUGACUCCGAGGCUGACGCGCGUGAGCUGGCAGGCAAGGAGCACGACGGCGACGACGGCGAGCCCUCUGCGGCAACCGCGAUGCUUGCGCCGCGCUCGCACAUCACAAAUCUUCUUACGCCCCUUAUCGAGCGCCCUUACGAGCUCGUCGACUACCUCGGCGCCAGCUUCGGCCUCACGACGGAGCUGCUCAACUUCUGGAAGAAGGCGUCGUACAUUCCCUUGUACGUGCGCCAAGCCCCGAAUGAGCUGACGGGCGAGCACAGCUGCAUCAUGGUGCGGCCGAUGGGCUUCGACUUGCGCCCGCUGCAGCGCGAGUUUCAGCACCGUCUGCUCCCUCUCCUGGCGAUGCCGUUCCGCCACUUGCCGACGGAACUCGCGCUGAGCCUCGUGGGUGACUUUGAAGCACAUGACCCACACAAGAUGAGUGCGGCGACGGACCUGUCAGAGGUCGACCACCACGUUGUGCGCGUGGACGGCGUCGUGCAGGCAACAAGCGACGAUAUUGCAGCCGCCUUCUCUGCCGGCGAUGUACAGCGCCUGCGUCUUGUGUCGACCACGUUCAUUGAGGGCGGCAACGUGCUCGACUUGGUCCCGACGCUGGCGAAGUUAUACUUUGGGAAGCAACUCUUCCGUUGCCCGGAUGGCACCGACGGCGUUGUGCUCUCCCACGCGCAGGCGGCCGUGCUGCUGGCGGUGGGUCUGCAGUGCCAAACAACUGAGGAGCUCGCAGCCCAGCCGGCUUUCUCUGGGGUGUCGACGCAGCAGCUGCGCGCGCUUUUCCUGAAGGCCCUCUCCCGCCUCUCGGAGCACCUUGUCGCCCUGCAGAAGAUCGCCAAGAAGGCGCACAAGGAUGGCCACAACGCCGGCGUCGUCGCGGGCAAGCGCGCGCGUUUGCUGUCGGACGGCGCGGCCGGUGACAGCGCCGCCAUCGGCGGCGCCGAUGAAGACGUCGAGGAUGCGGAGGAGAUCUAUGACAGUCACGGCAACUUGAAGGGGCUGAAGGUGGCGCGCAAAGUCAAGGCGCAGGUGUGCACGGACAGGACACUACUGCGGGACGCGUCGUCGUCCAUCUCGGGCAACGCGUCGGCUGCGUCUACGGGUCGGGACAGUCUACAAGAUGUCUUCUACCGCCCAACGAAGAAGACGUCCAAGCGUCGUUGAUGGCAAACUCCGUAACUCAUCGCGUUGUGUUCUUCUCGCUACAGGGUAUCUCUCUGUACCUUGACGGACAUGGCGGGCGGCGGAGGGCCGUGAUGGAUGGCCGAGCCCGAGAAGGGCAUCGAAGGAGAUCGGCGCGGACAGAGAUACAACGGCACGAAAGCGAGCGGAUGGCUGCGAGUGGGAGAGUGGGGGAUGCCGGGGACGUCCCAUAGUUGGGGAGGGGGGGCUGUCCGUGUCGUGUCCGCGGGUACCCAGCUCUCCUCCCCUUUCCGACUGCGCCGUCCCUGAAGGACUCAUGUAUCUCCCCACCUCGAUCCACCACCACCGCGCCCGCCGACGGCAGCAGCGGCGGUGCUCUCCCUCACUGCAACUCCUUUCUACCUCACCGGCUCCGCCUCACGAGCUCUGCCGCUCGCUCCUCUCUCUGCGUGCGUGCGCUCGGGUCUUGAGUGCCUCCGUUCGCUCUUCCCCUUUACAUAUGGCCCACGCGGAGGGCGUAACGCCCUUCUCCUCCCCUCCCAACCACUCUCCCUGCGGCCACUCGAAUACAUCCACACACGCACACACGUGCACAACGUGACUCGUGCAUGAAGGGCGCUUGCGCGCUUCUCCACGCGCGCGGGCGUGCUUGUGUGGCCGCGUUGGACCGCCUAAGCGGUCUUGCGGUCGCUAAUCGGUGUUCUUAAGCGCAGAUUAACCACCGAGAUAAAGACUACGAACUCACAAGCGAAACGACGAUGAGCGCAUCUAACGCGUUCUCGUCUGCUGAUGGCCGCUUCCAGAUGUGCUGCUGCGGCUGCUUGCGUGUUGUGCUUGUGUGUGUGUGUGCUUGGGGGGGUACG
rnacentral:misc_RNA from 1 species